rnacentral:rRNA from 1 species
UACCUACGGGGGGCAGCAGUGAGGAAUAUUGGUCAAUGGGCGAGAGCCUGAACCGGCCAAGUCGCGUGAGGGAAGACGGUCCUAUGGAUUGUAAACCUCUUUUGCCGGGGAGCAAAAAGCGGUACGUGUACCGCAUCGAGAGUACCCGGAGAAAAAGCAUCGGCUAACUCCGUGCCAGCAGCCGCGGUAAUACGGAGGAUGCGAGCGUUAUCCGGAUUCAUUGGGUUUAAAGGGUGCGCAGGCGGGCCUUUAAGCCGGCGG